AUGCUAUCAGACUGCGCUGACCUCUGACCCUUCAGCCAGGUGCUGAGACAAAAAGGGGGCUCUGUUUUCCAGUAUGGUUUUAGAUCAAGUCUGUGUGGUACUAAAGCAAUCCUGUCUCCCCGAGCACAUGGUAAGUGGAUGUGCUCAAUGAGGAAGCCUCCAGAACCCACACUGAGAUGGUGGCGACCUGGAGUUACAACCUGAGAACCGCAGGGAGAUUCCAAAUGCUUCAAGAAAAGGGCUAUGCCAAGCUCAGCUCUGGAUGCAGAGAGAAAGCUGUCUGUGCGAGAGUUCAACAAAUGAAAGCCAAGUAGAGAGUGGGCAACGUGCUGACAUUCAAGUCAAACAUUUAUGCUGUCAAUUAAAAUGUUUAUGCGUAGUUA